GCAUGUGUGGAUGUUUGUGUGUGUGGGUGUGUGUGUGCGCGUGUGGAUGUUACCACAUAGGUCUUUCUCUGAUGCAGUUGUGAAAUGUUGUAACAAUCCUGGACUUUUGUAGCCUUGUCAGAAGGGUCCGCCACUAAACCCAGAAAACAGUUUACAGGAGUAAAUUCAAAUUCACUCCUGCCUGGGUCAUGACCUUGGUCUGGUUGUGGGUCAUUGAACUAGCAGCUGUUGUACCUUUUUCAUGAACUCUUAACAACAAACAUCUUGCUGUUCCUUGGUGUAUCCAAGCCCUAGAAAACAAGUCUGAUAUAUUUAUUCCACUCGCAGACAAAGUCCAGCUCACAGCACCUGCAAGAGCAGCAUUGGGGCAGUAACCCGUCAUGUAUGUUUAAGAAGAGCUGGUCAGUGCCUCCCUCCCCACAGGUCAGUUAGCUUAGGAAUCAGGCAGACUAGAACAAGGGAACAGAUAACUCAAAAUUGAAUUAGAACUAAUAACUCAAAGUUGAAUUAGAAUGAACUACUCAAAGUUGAAUUAUAAUAACUGAAAGUUGAAUUAGAACUAAUAACUGAAAGUUGAAUUCUAAUGAACAACUCAAAGUUGAUUUAGAAAGAACAUCUCAUAGUUGACACUGGUGAUGUGACUGAGGAAAAGUUCCCAGCACCUGUUCCCAUCCCAUACACCAAACGGAAGGACUUCCAGUCUACGUGAAGUGCUUGAGGCGUGGGUUGGCUGCACGCUCUCAUGACGUGGAUGUUCUAGAGGUCCAUUUUUAAAUCUUUUCUAUAUGUACAGUCUUCUUGUCCUCCUGCUGUAUCUCACCUCUAAGGUAGACUAGUGGUCAUUUCCACAUUUGUAUCUGAACUUAGAAUAUUGCAUUUGAAAUAUUUUAUAUUUUUUAUAUAUAUAAAAAAAGAAAUCGCCAAUAGUUCAGACACUGAGUGCGGAAAGACAUUCAUUUCCAGGUCAUUGUAGAUGUGAGUUGUUUGUAUCUUUGUACAGUUCAUUUGAAUCAGAUGUAUUCCACUGAGUUAAAAAAAAAAAAAAGAAAAGUGUGAAAACAAUAAUAUAAUCCUUUUAAAUGUUCAAAUGAAAACUGAAUUUGCAUAAGUUUCCAUUUCAGAAUGGUGGACUUUUCUUUCAGCAGAUGUCUGUGCACAUGAACACCUGGACUAAUACAGAUAUAACUGGGUCCACACACAUCAGUCAUUAAUUAAUUACGUCCUAAAAAACAGACUCUCAGGACAUUUCAACAUUAACAAUCUUUCGGCUUCAGAAAUUAAAGCUUUGAGUUAAUCCGCUUUAAAGGUUUGGAAUUAUUUAUAAGAUGAGAUUGUAAUAUAAGAAUGAAGAUGUCCAGUACACGUCAUACUCCAGUACACAAGGUCCAGUACACGUCAUACUCCAGUAUACAAGGACCAGUACACGUCAUACUCUGCAUUAGCCUCAAAAUUAGUGAUCCUUCAGUCUGUUUUUUAAAGCUACAAUCAUGAAAAUUGAUCUCGAAUCCACCUUUUUAAAUAAAAAACCCCACUAAUUUAUAAAACAAGGGAAUGUCAUUAUUUUACCAAGGUUUAGUUUAUGGAAACCCACAUUACUGAAUCUUCACAACUCAGUCUUUGUAAAAGAAGGAGCAAUUAAUGAAUGUGUGUGUGUGUGUGUGUGUGUGUGUGUGUGGGUAUGUGUAUUGUAGUGUGACUGUCACCCAACUAUUGUAUCUGUUUUUCUCCUGUUAUGAAAUACUUUUGAGUAUUAUUGUGUUUAUAAUGGGUCUUUUACUUGUCAUUGUGUAUUUUAUAGUUUUAUUCACCUCCUUUUAAACAUGUACAUAAAAUAAAAUUAUAUUAUUCAUA